rnacentral:lncRNA from 1 species
GACAUAUCAUGUCAACGUUUUUCUAUGUGACAUUUUUUGGUGCAUAUCAUCAACCACAUCAACGUUAUUAACAAUCAAAUUGGUCGAUUAACAAUUUUUGUUAACGAAAAAGCUUAACUGAUGAUUAUUAUUAUUUCAUUGAGGGUCAAUAGGUUGAAUUCUUUUAAAAGUUUAAUUAUCUUUUUAAAUUUUUAUUAAGGGUUUUUUUUUU